GACGAACGCUGGCGGCGUGCUUAACACCUGCAAGUCGAACGAAGUGGCGAACGGGUGAGUAAUACGUGGGUAACCUGCCCUCCUUUUUGGGAUAAGCCUUGGAAACGGGGUCUAAUACCGAAUAAAGGUGGAUGGGCUCGCGGCCUAUCAGCUUGUUGGUGGGGUGAUGGCCUACCAAGGCGGUGACGGGUAGCCGGCCUGAGAGGGUGACCGGCCACAUUGGGAAGUAGAGACGGUCCAAAGUCCUACGGGAGGCAGCAGUGGGGAACAUUGCACAAUGGGGGAAAUCCUGAUGCAGCAACGCCGCGUGCGGGAUGACGGUCGUCGGGUUGUAAACCGCUUUCAGCCAUGACGCGGUAGUUGCAGAAGAAGCACCGGCUAACGACGUGCCAGCAGCCGCGGUAAUUC
rnacentral:rRNA from 1 species